GUCUUUUUGUUUUUAUUUAAAGUCUGAUCUGCUCACUGAUUUUUAAAUAGCCGCGGUAUUUUGACCGUGCGAAGGUAGCAUAAUAAUUAGUCUCUUAAUUAGGGUCUGGGAUGAAUGGUUAGACGAGAAAAUAUCUGUCUCUUUCUGAUUUUUUUGAAUUUUACUUUUGAGUUAAAAGGCUUAAAUUUUAUUAAAAGACGAGAAGACCCUAUAGAGUUUUAUUGCUUAGAGCUUAUUAAUUUUAGGUUUUCUUUUUUUUUGAGUUUGGACGUGAUUUGGUUGGGGUGACUGAAAAAUUGGAUAAACUUUUUUUUUAUUUUUACAUUGAUUUAUGGAUUUUUGAUCCGUUGUUUACGAUUUAAGAUAAAUUACCUUAGGGAUAACAGCGUAAUUUUUCUUGAGAGUUCUUAUCGAAAGGGAAGUUUGCGA
rnacentral:rRNA from 1 species